rnacentral:rRNA from 1 species
AUUGAACGCUGGCGGAAUGCUUUACACAUGCAAGUCGGGCGGCAGCGCGGGGGCAACCCUGGCGGCGAGCGGCGAACGGGUGAGUAACACAUCGGAACGUACCCUGUCGUGGGGGAUAACGAAUCGAAAGAUUCGCUAAUACCGCAUACGACCUGAGGGUGAAAGCGGGGGAUCGCAAGACCUCGCGCGAGAGGAGCGGCCGAUGGCGGAUUAGCUAGUUGGUGGGGUAAAGGCCCACCAAGGCGACGAUCCGUAGCGGGUCUGAGAGGACGGCCCGCCACACUGGGACUGAGACACGGCCCAGACUCCUACGGGAGGCAGCAGUGGGGAAUUUUGGACAAUGGGGGCAACCCUGAUCCAGCCAUUCCGCGUGAGUGAAGAA